rnacentral:rRNA from 1 species
UACGUAGGGGGCAAGCGUUAUCCGGAUUUACUGGGUGUAAAGGGAGCGUAGACGGCAGCGCAAGUCUGGAGUGAAAUGCCGGGGCUCAACCCCGGAACUGCUUUGGAAACUGCGCAGCUAGAGUGCGGGAGAGGUAAGCGGAAUUCCUAGUGUAGCGGUGAAAUACGUAGAUAUUAGGAGGAACACCAGUGGCGAAGGCGGCUUACUGGACCGUAACUGACGUUGAGGCUCGAAAGCGUGGGGAGCAAACAGG